UUUACUACAGAAAAUGACUGAGCGGCGAACGGGUGAGUAACGCGUGAGCAAUCUACCUUAGUUACAGGGAUAGCCCGAGGAAACUCGGAUUAAUACCUGAUAUUCUUUAAAUUUCGCAUGAAAUUAAAAGGAAAGGUCAGCCGAACUAAGAUGAGCUCGCGUUCUAUCAGCUAGUUGGUGAGGUAAAAGCUCACCAAGGCUACGACGGAUAGCUGGUCUGAGAGGACGAUCAGCCACACUGGGACUGAGACACGGCCCAGACUACUACGGGAGGCUGCAGCAGGGAAUAUUGCGCAAUGAGCGAAAGCUUGACGCAGCGACACCGCGUGUGGGAUGACGGAUCUAGGUUUGUAAACCACUUUCAGGAGGGAAGAAAAUGACGGUACCUCCACAAGAAGCCCCGGCCAACUACGUGCCAGCAGCCGCGGUAAUACGUAGGGGGCGAGCGUUGUCCGGAUUUAUUGGGCGUAAAGAGCUCGUAGGCGGUUCAACAAGUCGGUCGUGAAAGUUCAGGGCUCAACCCUGAAAUGUCGAUCGAUACUGUUGUGACUAGGAUACGGUAGAGGUGAGUGGAAUUCCGAGUGUAGCGGUGAAAUGCGUAGAUAUUCGGAGGAACACCAAUUGCGAAGGCAGCUCACUGGGCCGCUAUC
rnacentral:rRNA from 1 species